rnacentral:rRNA from 1 species
GACGAACGCUGGCGGCGUGCUUAACACAUGCAAGUCGAACGCUGAAGCUUGGUGCUUGCACUGGGUGGAUGAGUGGCGAAAGGGUGAGUAAUACGUGAGUAACCUGCCCUUGACUCUGGGAUAAGCCUGGGAAACUGGGUCUAAUACUGGAUACGACAUGUCACCGCAUGGUGGUGUGUGGAAAGGGUUUUACUGGUUUUGGAUGGGCUCACGGCCUAUCAGCUUGUUGGUGGGGUAAUGGCUCACCAAGGCGACGACGGGUAGCCGGCCUGAGAGGGUGACCGGCCACACUGGGACUGAGACAAGGCCCAGACUCCUACGGGAGGCAGCAGUGGGGAAUAUUGCACAAUGGGCGGAAGCCUGAUGUAGCGACGCCGCGUGAGGGAUGACGGCCUUCGGGUUGUAAACCUCUUUCAGCACGGAAGAAGCGAAAGUGACGGUACGUGCAGAAGAAGCGCCGGCUAACUACGUG